UCCAGACUCCUACGGGAGGCAGCAGUGGGGAAUAUUGCACAAUGGGGGAAACCCUGAUGCAGCGACGCCGCGUGAGUGAAGAAGUAAUUCGUUAUGUAAAGCUCUCUCAGCAGGGAAGAAAAUGACGGUACCUGAGUAAGAAGCCCCGGCUAACUACGUGCCAGCAGCCGCGGUAAUACGUAGGGGGCAAGCGUUAUCCGGAUUUACUGGGUGUAAAGGGAGCGUAGACGGCCAGACAAGUCUGAAGUGAAAAUCCAGCGCUUAACGUUGGAAGUGCUUUGGAAACUGCCGGGCUGGAGUGCAGGAGGGGCAGGCGGAAUUCCUAGUGUAGCGGUGAAAUGCGUAGAUAUUAGGAGGAACACCAGUGGCGAAGGCGGCCUGCUGGACUGCAACUGACGUUGAGGCUCGAAGGCGUGGGGAGCAAACAGGAUUAGAUACCCUGGUA
rnacentral:rRNA from 1 species